CUACGGGAGGCAGCAGUGGGGAAUAUUGCGCAAUGGGCGAAAGCCUGACGCAGCGACGCCGCGUGGGGGAUGAAGGCCUUCGGGUUGUAAACCUCUUUCAGCAGGGAAGAAGCGUGAGUGACGGUACCUGCAGAAGAAGCACCGGCUAACUACGUGCCAGCAGCCGCGGUAAUACGUAGGGUGCAAGCGUUGUCCGGAAUUAUUGGGCGUAAAGAGCUCGUAGGCGGUCUGUCGCGUCUGCUGUGAAAACCUGGGGCUUAACUCCGGGCUUGCAGUGGGUACGGGCAGACUAGAGUGCGGUAGGGGAGACUGGAAUUCCUGGUGUAGCGGUGAAAUGCGCAGAUAUCAGGAGGAACACCGGUGGCGAAGGCGGGUCUCUGGGCCGUAACUGACGCUGAGGAGCGAAAGCGUGGGGAGCGAACAGGAUUAGAUACCCCCGUAGUC
rnacentral:rRNA from 1 species